GAUGAACGCUGGCGGCGUGCCUAAUACAUGCAAGUAGAACGCUGAAGGAGGAGCUUGCUCUUCUGGAUGAGUUGCGAACGGGUGAGUAACGCGUAGGUAACCUGCCUGGUAGCGGGGGAUAACUAUUGGAAACGAUAGCUAAUACCGCAUGACAACAGUUAUUGCAUGAUAACUGUUUAAAAGGGGCAACUGCUCCACUACCAGAUGGACCUGCGUUGUAUUAGCUAGUUGGUGAGGUAACGGCUCACCAAGGCGACGAUACAUAGCCGACCUGAGAGGGGGAUCGGCCACACUGGGACUGAGACACGGCCCAGACUCCUACGGGAGGCAGCAGUAGGGAAUCUUCGGCAAUGGACGGAAGUCUGACCGAGCAACGCCGCGGGAGUGAAGAAGGUUGUCGGAUCGUAAAGCUAUGUUGUAAGAGAAGAACGAGUGUGAGAGUGGAAAGUUCACACUGUGACGGUAGCUUACCAGAAAGGGACGGCUAACUACGUG
rnacentral:rRNA from 1 species